AGAGUUUGAUCCUGGCUCAGGACUAACGCUGGCGGCGUGCCUAAUACAUGCAAGUCGAACGGUCGUGCGUUUGUAGCAAUAUGGACGUACGAUAGUGGCGAACGGGUGAGUAACACGUGGAAAACCUACCCUCGAGCGGGGGAUAACUCCGGGAAACUGGGGCUAAUACCGCAUGACAUCCCAACCUGGCAUCGGGAGGGGAUCAAAGCCGAAAGGCACUUGAGGAUGGUUCCGCGGCCUAUCAGCUAGUUGGCGGGGUAACGGCCCACCAAGGCGACGACGGGUAGCCGGCCUGAGAGGGCGAUCGGCCACAAGGGGACUGAGACACGGCCCCUACUCCUACGGGAGGCAGCAGUAGGGAAUUUUGCUCAAUGGGGGAAACCCUGAAGCAGCGACGCCGCGUGGGCGACGAAAUCCUUCGGGAUGUAAAGCCCUUUUAACCGGGACGAAAUACAUGACGGUACCGGUGGAAUAAGCCUCGGCUAACUCCGUGCCAGCAGCCGCGGUAAGACGGGGGAGGCAAGCGUUGUCCGGAAUCACUGGGUGUAAAGGGCGUGUAGGCGGGCCGGCUAGUCGGUUGUUAAAUCUCUCCGCUCAACGGAGAAGCUGCGGCCGAUACUUCCGGUCUUGAGUGCGGCAGGGGAGGAUGGAAUUCCUGGUGUAGCGGUGAAAUGCGUAGAUAUCAGGAGGAACACCGGUGGCGAAGGCGGUCCUCUGGGCCUGCACUGACGCUGAGUGCGCGAAAGCUGGGGUAGCAAACAGAAUUAGAUACUCUGGUAGUCCCAGCCCUAAACGAUGGGUACUAGGUGUUCGCCCCUUCAAGGGGUGAGUGCCGCAGCUAACGCAUUAAGUACCCCACCUGGGGAGUACGAUCGCAAGGUUGAAACUCAAAGGAAUUGACGGGGACCCGCACAAGCGGUGGAGGAUGUGGUUUAAUUCGACGCAACGCGAAGAACCUUACCUGGUCUUGACAUGCUGGUGAAAUCCGUGGAAACACGGCCCUCCCGCAAGGGACGCCAGUACAGAUGGUGCAUGGCUGUCGUCAGCUCGUGUCGUGAGAUGUUGGGUUAAGUCCGGUAACGAGCGCAACCCUCACUGUAUGUUACAAGUGUCAUACGGAACUGCCGGUAUCAAGCCGGAGGAAGGUGGGGAUGACGUCAAGUCAGCAUGGCCUUUAUAUCCGGGGCUACACACACGCUACAAUGGCCAGUACAAUAGGUUUGCAAGACCGUAAGGUGGAGCCAAUCCUUAAAGCUGGUCUCAGUUCAGAUUGUAGGCUGCAACCCGCCUACAUGAAGUCGGAGUUGCUAGUAACCGCAGGCCAGCCAUACUGCGGUGAAUACGUUCUCGGGGAUUGCACUCACCGCCCGUCAAG
rnacentral:rRNA from 1 species